CGACGAUGCUUUGAAAUGACUUGCUCAUCAACUGUCGAUGGUAGGUUACGUGCCUACCAUGGUGACAACGGUUAACGGAGAAUAGGGGUUCGGUUCCGGAGAAGGAGCCUGAGAGACGGCUACUACAUCCAAGGAAGGCAGCAGGCACGCAAAUUACCCACUCCUGGCAUGGGGAGGUAGUGACGAUAAAUAACGGAACGUAUCUCGAUGAGACGCGUUA
rnacentral:rRNA from 1 species